CUACGGGCGGCACCAGUGGGGAAUAUUGGACAAUGGGGGAAACCCUGAUCCAGCAAUGCCGCGUGUGUGAAGAAGGCCUGCGGGUUGUAGAGCACUUUCGGUUGGGAGGACUGCUUCUAGCACUAAUAUUGUUGGAAGUUGACGUUACCUUCAGAAGAGGCACCGGCUAACUCCGUGCCAGCAGCCGCGGCAAUACGGAGGGUGCAAGCGUUAAUCGGAAUUACUGGGCGUAAAGCGCGCGUAGGCGGCUAGAUCAGUCGGGUGUGAAAGCCCCGGGCUUAACCUGGGAACUGCAUCCGAUACUGUCUAGCUUGAGUACAGGAGAGGAGAGUGGAAUUCCACAUGUAGCGGUGAUAUGCGUAGAUAUGUGGAGGAACACCAAUGGCGAAGGCAGCUCUCUGGCCUGAUACUGACGCUGAGGUGCGAAAGCGUGGGGAGCAAACAGGAUUAGAUACCUCCGUAGUC
rnacentral:rRNA from 1 species